rnacentral:rRNA from 1 species
UACGAAGGGGGCUAGCGUUGCUCGGAAUCACUGGGCGUAAAGCGCACGUAGGCGGAUCUUUAAGUCAGGGGUGAAAUCCUGGAGCUCAACUCCAGAACUGCCUUUGAUACUGGGGAUCUCGAGUCCGGGAGAGGUGAGUGGAACUCCGAGUGUAGAGGUGAAAUUCGUAGAUAUUCGGAAGAACACCAGUGGCGAAGGCGGCUCACUGGCCCGGUACUGACGCUGAGGUGCGAAAGCGUGGGGAGCAAUCAGG